GUGCCAGCCGCCGCGGUAAUACGAAGGGGGCGAGCGUUGUUCGGAAUUACUGGGCGUAAAGGGCGCGCAGGCGGCCCUUGAAGUCAGGCGUGAAAGCCCCGGGCUCAACCUGGGAGGUGCGCUUGAUACUCGAGGGCUUGAGUGCGGGAGAGGAGAGUGGAAUUCCCAGUGUAGAGGUGAAAUUCGUAGAUAUUGGGAAGAACACCGGUGGCGAAGGCGGCUCUCUGGACCGUAACUGACGCUGAGGCGCGAAAGCGUGGGGAGCAAACAGGAUUAGAAACCCGUGUAGUCC
rnacentral:rRNA from 1 species